rnacentral:rRNA from 1 species
CCUACGGGAGGCAGCAGUGGGGAAUAUUGGACAAUGGGGGGAACCCUGAUCCAGCGACGCCGCGUGAGUGAAGAAGUAUUUCGGUAUGGAAAGCUCUAUCAGCAGGGAAGAAAAUGACGGUACCUGACUAAGAAGCCCCGGCUAAAUACGUGCCAGCAGCGGCGGUAAUACGUAGGGGGCAAGCGUUAUACGGAUGUACCGGGUGUAAAGGGAGUGGAAACGGUGCAGCAAGUUUGAUGGGAAAGGUCGGGGCCCAACCCCGGGACUACAUUGGAAACUGGUGACCUGGAGUACAGGAAAGGUAAGCGGAAUGCCUGGUGGAGCGGUGAAAUGCAUAGAUAUUAGGAGGAACACCAGUGGCGAAGGCAGCUUACUGGACUGUAACUGACGUUGAGGCUCGAAGGCGUGGGGAGCAAACAGGAUUAGAUACCCCGGUAGUC